rnacentral:lncRNA from 1 species
AGUUUGUUUUUGUUCUUUUAUUUCCAAGACAGGGUUUCUCUGCAUAGCCCUGGCUGUUCUGGAACUUGCUUCGUAGACCAGGCUGGCCUCAAAUCCAGAGAUCUGCCUCUUGACCAAAUGCUGGGAUAAAAGGCAUGUGCCACCACCAACCACCCAGCUGAGAGACCAUCAUAAAGGGGCAGGCCUGGAAGCAGGAGCUCAGGCUGGCUGCAUCCCCAUCUGUGCUUCCCAGUGCUUGCUGUUCCAAUCUCCCUGGGUUAUUUCUGCUCCAACAGUCUGGUGUCCUGGGGGCAUUUCACUCCAG